CCCCUCACCCCUCGGUGGGCCUGGGCGCCCUCAAGCGAAGCUGAGCCCUGGGCCAGAAUCAGAGCCUAUGGGAGGAGCCCUGAGAGAGCGUGGAGCCCACAGGGAGAGGCGGCUUGCCCCCGGCUGCACAGCCCGAACCCCGGAGUCAGCUCCAGGAGGUGGGCCCUGCCGCCCCCAUUUUACAGAGGGGAAGACUGAGGCAGAGAGCAACCAGGCACACAGGGAAGUGGCCGAGCCGCAAUUCAGCCCUGGGUUUGUCUGACUCCGAGUAUGAUGCCGCUCACCCUCUGAAGACAGCUCCAGACCUCAGAGUUGUGCACACAACCUGUCCCUGCCUCAGUUUCCUCACCUGUAAAAUAGACGUAAUAAGAGGAAGAAAUGAUAUCAAGAGCUGGGCACAUGGGAAGCCUUUCAUAAGCUUCAGUCGUUGUGGUUACCAUGUGUUGAAGGGUUGUCCCCAGCACUUUGUCCCCUGCCCUGUCAGCAACCUUCUGCCUCCUGCCCUGUCAUUCCUGACUUGAUAGAACACUUGAGAAUUUCCAGAGCCCCUUCCCAUCCAUCACUGGGAAGGACGCCUUGGAGCAGAGCAAGGUCGGCCCCUUCCCCAGCAGCUCAGUCCUAACUGGGGUGGCUGGACAGACAUCUGUGACCUGGCUGAGUGUUAAAGUGGCUCUGGGGGCUCUGCCCAGACGCCGCCGUCUCCCCAUCCCUGCUGUCCCCAUGGCCGCGCCAGCUGAGCCCCCUCCGCCUGGAGCACCUGUCUGCUCACCACCAGCUCCUGACAAGCAGCUUACCCAUCCUUCAGGACGUGACUCGUGGGCCCCCUCCUUUCUAAAGACUUUCAUGGGCCCCCAGACAGUCCUGCCUCUGUGUCUUUCCUGUACCCUAUUCAAACCUUCUUAUCGCAAAGUGCGGGGCUCUUGUGUUUCCAGUUCGGUCUGGCUGUGGGAGUCUGAGCUCCCCAAGGAGAGAGGUUGUGUCUCUUCUGUUUCUCCAACGCCUCACCCCGUACCAUGUACACUUGUGCACACACAUGCACAUACACACACACACGUGGGCACACUUGGUCUACAGAAAGGCACGCAAUAGGUUCUCGCUAAUUCUCAAGGGAAGGAAUGAAGGAACCACUCCUUCCCCAAAAGGCCAGUCUGAUGGCCCCUGUCUUGCAGCUCCUUAGCCUCACUCCCCAGGAAUCCAGGCAUCCGGAGGUUUCGCCUCCACACAGGACAAGACUCCUCGGUUCCGCAGAGGAAGUCCCUAUGGUUAGGACCUCAGACGACAGCCAGGCUCCCAGGGGAGGUGGGGACCCGCCUGGCACCGGCAGCUGGUGAGGGGGAGGGCGGAGGACACUGCCAGGCCUUCCCAGCCGGGCACGGGCUAUUUAUACCCAGCUCCUGGCCUGACCCUGCCCUAGGCCCUGCCACCCUCCCCUGAGGACAGCUCAUCCUCCGCCCCAACCACCCACCGCCCAGCUGGGCUGAGGAUAGACACAGGCAGCCGGGCAGAUGGGCAGCAGGUGCCAGCGAGCAACAGGCUGCUCGUGGAGCCCGCGACGCUGACCUCUCAGUGAAAGUCCCUCUCCAAGCAGGCUGGACUUCAAUAAGUACACUGCCCUGUGGGACUCCGGCUGCUCCCCGGUUCUCCACACCCCCGCCCCCCGACACCACCUCUGUCUCCAGAGGGCUGAACGUGGGCUAUGCGGUGAGCCAGGGCAGAGAGAAAACUUCUAGCCACAGACCGCGGUCUGCCUGGACGCCAGCCUGACUUACACAGCUAUCACACGGUGAGACACAAGUGUCCUGUGCCGGGUAUCCGUCCGGUGACGCUGGCACUGUUGACACACAGGUCCUGCCAUCGCCCAGCAGCGGCCUGCCUGGCUUCGGGCUGCCAGGGCUGCAUGCUGCACCGUCCCUACCCUGCCUUCCUUAACGAUCUCUCAGGGUUGGAGCGCUGCACCCCAACCAGUGGCCUCCCUUGUACCCAGACUUGUUUCUGUUCUUUACCUUGGGCCUCCCUACUCCCUAGCGUAAUAGGGUUUUAGAGAUGGAGGGGCCUCGGGAGGCCUCUAGUUCAGGGUGUUUUGUAUUUGUUAGCUAUUUUUUUUCCAGAUGGAAUCAUACACAACCUCCCCCCAGCCCUCUAGACAUAAAACAUAUAAAAAGAGGGGACCGUUCCUCUUUUAAAGCUAAAUGUACGGGGCGAUUUGGGUGACUCAGUCGGUUGAGCAUCUGCCUUGGGCUCAGGUCAUGAUCAGGGUCCUGGGAUCGAGCCCCGCAUCGGGCUCCCUGCUCAGUGGGGAGCCUGCUUCUAUUCUUCCCUCUGCCUGCU